AACCACUCUAGUCUAGCGAACAGGGUGAAUAGCUCUGCUUCUUGAACUGGUGGAGUCUUCACAAUUUUUUAAUAGUUUACGGAGAAAGUCACAAAAUAAUGAUAUCCUGCAGCAAAAUUUGCCCCAAAUCUUCACGCCCUCCACCACACUCCAAACCCUCGAUCCCCUUCCUCCCUUCACCGCGUAUGGCGUCGAGGGCUGGCCGGAUCCUCCCCUGCCUCGAAGCCACGGAGCCGGAGCGGCCGCCGCCGGCCCUAACCAGCGACCUCCACGAGGAGAUCUUCCUACGCGUCGCCUCCCCCACCGACCUCGCCCGCGCCUCCGCCGCGUGCGUCUCCUUCCGCCGCCUCAUCGGCGACCCCCGCUUCCUCCGCCGUUACCGCUCCAUCCACCCGCCGCUACUCCUCGGCUUCAUCAGCUUCGCAAGCUCCCAACCCGCAGGCUUCCAACCCGCUGAGGCGCCCCAACCCUCCGCUGCCGUCGCCCGCGCGGUCGCACGCGCCGCCGACUUCUCCUUCGACUUCGUCCCCACCAGCUCCACCAGCUUGAACCACCACCGGUGCUAUUCCCAGUUUCCGUGUGAUGUCCGAGACGGCCUUGUCCUCUACUACAGGCGCAUCGCCCACAUUAGGGAGCAGGGGCGCUUGUCCUUGGAACUCGCGGUGUGCGACCCCUUGUCCCGGUGGUACCUGCUGCUGCCACCCAUGACCGACGACCUGCUCGUCUCCGUUGAGCUCGAGAACGAAGACAUGUUCAAUUCCGAGGCCUCCUUUGUCUCUUCCGGGGGCAUGGAGGACGAGACAUCAUUCAGGGUGAUGUGCUGGAUGCAUUCCGACACCAAAUUGGUGGUGUUUUUCUUCUCUUCAGGCUCUGAUCACUGGACUGUUGGCGCAUCUACCAGGUGGGAUGAUCUAGGCAUGGACGAACUAGUAGACUCGCUGACGCUGAGUUCACAAUGCGUGUAUGGCUGCUUCUACUGGAAAGUAGACUGCACAAACAAGUUGCUCAAGCUCGACAUGGGCACUAUGGAGUUAUCCAAAUAUGACCUCCCUCCUGAUCAUGAUGAUAAGAAUAUCUUCAUAGUGGAGGCAUGGGAAGGCCAGAUUGCAAUGUUUAGUCAACUUAUUGAUGGGGCCACAUCUGUGGAAUAUUACAACUUGCAAAAUGGCAGUGACAAGUCCCAUGAGUGGCAUAUGAAGAGCAUCAUCCCAUUGCCAGCCCAAUAUAUUAGUUGUGGAUGCUUAAUCAAUGGUCCAGCUGGAGGAUACAUUUUCCUAGUAGGCACUCCAAAAGAACAGGAUGCAGGACAUUCAUUGUUUUUCUCACUUGAGAUUAAGUCUUUCAAAAUUGAGAUGGUCAGUAAGAUAACCUCUCCCUUCCUCUAUGCCCUUCCAUUUUUUGGUUUCCCGCCAUCAAUGUCACCGAGAAGAAUUCAAGGAUAUGAAGUGGUAAGCUUUUUAUCAUAAUUCUUGCCAGUCUUUUGUAUUUCCCAGACCUUUAAUUUACUGUCAAGUGACUGUGAUGCAGGAAUAAUUUUAGAUUUGUAGUGUAGAUGCUAGGCCUUUACACCUUUUUGAGGUAUAACAUUGGUUCUGGGUUUAUCCAAGUAUUAUCUAGGUCCUGGUCACCUUGUAGAGUUGUGGCGCAUCUGCUAUUUGACUAUCUGCUUGUGUUAGAGACUUGUAGGCGAUUCAUAUUAAAAUAUUUUUCUGGUAUAACGAACUCUCUGCUGCAGCAAAGGUAUAUCACACUCAUGAAAAUGAUCCAUGCUCUGUUUUCUGUUUUAUAUUCAACUAAUGCCAGGUUUCAAAAUUGUUUGCCAUGGACCAUUCCAGAGGAUCACAAAAUUAGAAAGAUAAUUUUGUAGCACUAAUUUAUCUUCAACCUUUUAGUGCAAAUAUUUCAAAAUUGAGAGGAGUAUAUAUCCUUUUGUCAAGGGAUGCUAGUGAGUACUAGAUGGGUUACUGUCUUAGUUUAUUUGCACCCUUUUCCCUACCUUUCUAAUCCUGACUAGUUCCAAUUGAUGGGCUUUUGACAACCAAAAUGACCUAGAGAAAGCAAAUCUUGCAUCCCUGCCUGUGACCUUGUUGAGCAUGUUUGCUGUGAAAUACUGGCUUAUGAGCCUAAGCUCAGCCAAACAGGCUUCCGUUUAUACUUCUCAGGCAUGUGCCUUGGCCAUGAUCUUGCGUUGUGUUCAAUCUAGCUAGGGCUGGCUGCAGUCUGCACAAGUCAAUUUGGUGGAACAACAUUCUGACCUUUGUCAUCAGUUUCUAACUUCGAAUUGCAAUCAUUGAUGUGUUGACUUUACAUCGCUGUUGACUGCAAUAAAAUGAUGAACCAUCAUUUGUGCUAUGCAUCAUUGCUUUUGAGUCAAACCCCCUUUGGAGCGAUUCAGCUAAACUGAACUGUCCACUCCUAAGCCUUGGCAGUUGGCACUGAAACUGUGGAAAAGUAAACACUUUUCACUGCAUCUGCUUUCUACCUUGGUGGUUUCUGUAAGACUUAAUCUGCAGCUGUCCCUUUUCUGAUUUUGGUCAAGGAAGUCUGCAGUUUGCUAGCAGCCUUUGUUGACUUGCAGCCUUUGUUGACUUAUGGCUCUAGGCCACUAAUGUUCAGAUAGUGAUAGAAGUUAUUAGCCAUAACUGGUAGCACCUUAGAGUAGGUAGCAAUGGUGUAUAAAUAUGAAUGCAAUGCAAUGAGAAAAGGCAGUUCAUUCUUGCCACAUUCUAGUGUUCAGCUCUCAGCCAGCGCAGAGAGCAGACAACAGAGUGUAUGUGUGUGCAGAAGAGCUCAGCUCUUCUUCUACCUUGGAGCUAAGGAGAGGGAGAGGAAGGUGACCAGUUGCAGGACUAGGUCCCCAUCCAGGUUUGGGUCUUCUUCGUUGCCUUGCUGCUGGUUGGAGCACAGGAGCAGAGUGGCAGAGCGCCACCAUGGGCCACGGGUACGCCCCUGUUGUCUCCAUCUCCUCGGGGCACGGCGGCGACGACGCCUCUGCCAGAACCUGUAUAGCAACCACAACCUGCAGUCGUCUCUGUGCCUUGGUAUUCAUCGCUGCACUAGCACUCCUACUCUGCUUUUGUGCAGAAUGACACCUGCUGAUGAUGAACUGUAGAGAAAUGCUGGUUGCAGAGAUGUGGAUCUCAGUCCAGUUCAAUGCUGGAUCAUUAGUCAUUACUGUUUGAUAUGCGUGGCUCACUGAUCUGUUCACAAAACUCACGGAGAAAUCUACGCUGAUCUGGAGGCAUCAGGUGGCCAAAUGACAGGCCAUCAAAAUUCUUAGUAA